rnacentral:rRNA from 1 species
CCUGCCCCGUGAACUAAUUCAACGGCCGCGGUAUCUUGACCGUGCAAAGGUAGCAUAAUCAAUUGUUCUUUAAAUAAGGACUAGUAUGAACGGCAUCACGAGGGUUUAACUGUCUCCCUAUUUUAAUCAAUGAAAUUGAUCCCCCCGUGAAGAAGCGGGGAUAUAAUUAUAAGACGAAAAGACCCCAUGGAGCUUUAAACUUAUUUUCAAUUACCAAAACCAAAACAUACACCCGGUAAAAAUGAUAAUCGUUUUCGGUUGGGGCGACCCUGGAGAAAAACAAAUCCUCCAAGCUGAAUAAAUUAAAAUUUAAUGUUAGAGCAACAACUCAAACAAUCAAAACCUUGACAAAAUGACCCAGAAUUCAUCUGAUCAACGAACCAAGUUACCCUGGGGAUAACAGCGCAAUCCAUUUCAAGAGCCCUUAUCGACAAAUGGGUUUACGACCUCGAUGUUGGAUCGGGGUAUCCUAGCAG